AUUGAACGCUGGCGGCAUGCCUUACACAUGCAAGUCGAACGGUAACAGGUCUUCGGAUGCUGACGAGUGGCGAACGGGUGAGUAAUACAUCGGAACGUGCCUAGUAGUGGGGGAUAACUACUCGAAAGAGUGGCUAAUACCGCAUACGACCUGAGGGUGAAAGGGGGGGAUCGCAAGACCUCUCGCUAUUGGAGCGGCCGAUAUCAGAUUAGCUAGUUGGUGGAGUAAAGGCCUACCAAGGCAACGAUCUGUAGUUGGUCUGAGAGGACGACCAGCCACACUGGGACUGAGACACGGCCCAGACUCCUACGGGAGGCAGCAGUGGGGAAUUUUGGACAAUGGGCGCAAGCCUGAUCCAGCAAUGCCGCGUGCAGGAAGAAGGCCUUCGGGUUGUAAACUGCUUUUGUCAGGGAAGAAAUCUUCUGGGCUAAUACCCCGGGAGGAUGACGGUACCUGAAGAAUAAGCACCGGCUAACUACGUGCCAGCCGCCGCCGUAA
rnacentral:rRNA from 1 species